UACGUAGGGUGCAAGCGUUAAUCGGAAUUACUGGGCGUAAAGCGUGCGCAGGCGGCGAUGUAAGGCAGAUGUGAAAUCCCCGGGCUCAACCUGGGAACUGCCUUUGUGACUGCAUAGCUAGAGUACGGUAGAGGGGGAUGGAAUUCCGCGUGUAGCAGUGAAAUGCGUAGAUAUGCGGAGGAACACCGAUGGCGAAGGCAAUCCCCUGGACCUGUACUGACGCUCAUGCACGAAAGCGUGGGGAGCAAACAGG
rnacentral:rRNA from 1 species